UACCUGGUUGAUCCUGCCAGUAGUCAUAUGCUUGUCUCAAAGAUUAAGCCAUGCAAGUCUAAGUACGAGCUCUCGUACAGUGAAACUGCGAAUGGCUCAUUAAAUCAGUUAUGGUUCAUUUGAUCGUACAGUUUACUUGGAUAACUGUGGUAAUUCUAGAGCUAAUACAUGCGAGAAAGCGCCGACCUCGCGGGAGGCGUGCAUUUAUCAGACCAAAAACCGGCCGCGUCUUCGGGCGCGUUCGCCUUGGUGACUCUGGAUAACUUUGCGGAUCGCACGGUCUAGCACCGGCGACGGAUCAUUCAAGUGUCUGCCCUAUCAACUUUCGUCGGUACGGUAUUUGCCUACCGAGGUUCUUACGGGUGACGGGGAAUCAGGGUUCGAUUCCGGAGAGGGAGCCUGAGAAACGGCUACCACAUCCAAGGAAGGCAGCAGGCGCGCAAAUUACCCAUUCCCGACGCGGGGAGGUAGUGACGAAAAAUAACAAUGCAGGACUCGUUCGAGGCCCUGUAAUUGGAAUGAGUACACUUUAAAAGCUUUAACGAGUAUCCAUUGGAGGGCAAGUCUGGUGCCAGCAGCCGCGGUAAUUCCAGCUCCAAAAGUAUAUAUUUAAGUUGUUGCGGUUAAAAAGCUCGUAGUUGGAUUUUGGGCGCAGGCGGCCGGUCCGUCCAAGGCGUGUCCUGGACGUCCUGGCCUUCCCUCCGGUUCUCCGCCGGUGCUCUUGACUGAGUGUCGGCGGCGGCCGGAACGUUUACUUUGAAAAAUUAGAGUGUUCAAAGCAGGCUCUCGAGCCUGGAUAAUGGUGCAUGGAAUAAUGGAAUAG
rnacentral:ncRNA from 1 species